CAGUGUCUGGUGGGUAGUUUGACUGGGGCGGUCUCCUCCUAAAGAGUAACGGAGGAGCACGAAGGUUGGCUAAUCCUGGUCGGACAUCAGGAGGUUAGUGCAAUGGCAUAAGCCAGCUUGACUGCGAGCGUGACGGCGCGAGCAGGUGCGAAAGCAGGUCAUAGUGAUCCGGUGGUUCUGAAUGGAAGGGCCAUCGCUCAACGGAUAAAAGGUACUCCGGGGAUAACAGGCUGAUACCGCCCAAGAGUUCAUAUCGACGGCGGUGUUUGGCACCUCGAUGUCGGCUCAUCACAUCCUGGGGCUGAAGUAGGUCCCAAGGGUAUGGCUGUUCGCCAUUUAAAGUGGUACGCGAGCUGGGUUUAGAACGUCGUGAGACAGUUCGGUCCCUAUCUGCCGUGGGCGCUGGAGAACUGAGGGGGGCUGCUCCUAGUACGAGAGGACCGGAGUGGACGCAUCACUGGUGUUCGGGUUGUCAUGCCAAUGGCACUGCCCGGUAGCUAAAUGCGGAAGAGAUAAGUGCUGAAAGCAUCUAAGCACGAAACUUGCCCCGAGAUGAGUUCUCCCUGAGACUUUAGGUCUCCUGAAGGAACGUUGAAGACGACGACGUUGAUAGGCCGGGUGUGUAAGCGCAGCGAUGCGUUGAGCUAACCGGUACUAAUGAACCGUGAGGCUUAACCUU
rnacentral:rRNA from 1 species